rnacentral:rRNA from 1 species
GACGAACGCUGGCGGCGUGCUUAACACAUGCAAGUCGAACGGAAAGGCCCUGCUUUUGUGGGGUGCUCGAGUGGCGAACGGGUGAGUAACACGUGAGUAACCUGCCCUUGACUUUGGGAUAACUUCAGGAAACUGGGGCUAAUACCGGAUAGGAGCUCCUGCUGCAUGGUGGGGGUUGGAAAGUUUCGGCGGUUGGGGAUGGACUCGCGGCUUAUCAGCUUGUUGGUGGGGUAGUGGCUUACCAAGGCUUUGACGGGUAGCCGGCCUGGGAGGGUGACCGGCCACAUUGGGACUGAGAUACGGCCCAGACUCCUACGGGAGGCAACGGUGGGGAAUAUUGCACAAUGGGCGGGAGCCUGAUGCAGCGACGCCGCGUGCGGGAUGACGGCCUUCGGGUUGUAAACCGCUUUCGCCUGUGACGAAGCGUGAGUGACGGUAAUGGGUAAAGAAGCACCGGCUAACUACGUG